rnacentral:rRNA from 1 species
GACCUAUAACGCUAUC